rnacentral:misc_RNA from 1 species
GAAAUGCGAUAAGUAGUGUGAAUUGCAGAAUUCAGUGAAUCAUCGAAUCUUUGAACGCACAUUGCGCCCUAUGGUAUUCCGUAGGGCAUGCCUGUUCGAGCGUCAUUUACACCUUCAAGCCUUGCUUGGUGUUGGGUGACUGUGGCCCCUUUGGGGCCACUCGCCUUAAAGUCAUUGGCGGCCGGUUCGUUGGCUUUGUAGCGCAGCACAAUUGCGUCCUCGAAGCCGCUGGACCAGCUCCCAGAAGCUAAUUUUAAAUGUUUGACCUCGAAUCAGGUAGGGAUUCCCGCUGAACUUAAGU